AUGACGCCGAAGGUUGAUGAUGGAUGGCCACCUCUUGUUGCAGAUUUGAUGAAUACGAAAAUGGUUACGGCAAGUUCGUUCUUGGAAGGAGAGAGGGAGUUAUCACAGUUAGAAAAUGGUUCUGCUAUGAUAUGGUUAUUUGGUUGGUUGUGGGAGCAUAGUGCCAUGGCCUUGAUGAAAGCAAACAGAAGCGGUGAGAAGGAAACUUGA